rnacentral:rRNA from 1 species
CCGCCUACGGGAGGCAGCAGUGGGGAAUAUUGCACAAUGGGGGAGACCCUGAUGCAGCGACGCCGCGUGAGUGAAGAAGCAAUUCGUUAUGUAAAGCUCUAUCAGCAGGGAAGAAAAUGACGGUACCUGAGUAAGAAGCCCCGGCUAACUACGUGCCAGCAGCCGCGGUAAUACGUAGGUGGCGAGCGUUAUCCGGAAUGAUUGGGCGUAAAGGGUGCGUAGGCGGCCUGCUAAGUCUGGAGUGAAAGGUACCGGCUCAACCGGUAUAGGCUCUGGAAACUGGCGGGCUAGAGAGCAGGAGAGGG